rnacentral:antisense_RNA from 1 species
AAGAGAGCAGGUCUUGCCAUGUUGUCCAAGCUGGUCUCCAACUCCUGGGCUCAGGCAACCCUCCCACAGUGGCCUCGCAAAGCGUUGGGAUUACAGGCAUGAGCCACCACACCUGGCAGAAUUUUUAAUUUUUUGUAGAGCUAGGGUCUCGCUAUGUUGCCCAGUCUAGUCAUGAACUCCUGAGUUCAAGCAAUCAGCCCACCUUGCCUCCCAAAGUGUCGGGAUUACAGGCGUUGGGGCCACCACACUUGGCCUAGAAAACAUUUUCCAGGCACGGUGGCUCAUGCCUGUAAUCCCGACACUUUGGGAGGCAAGGCAGGUGGAUCACCUGAGAUCAGAAGUUCGAGACCAGCCUGGCCAACAUGGUGAAACACUGUCUUUACUAAAAAUACAAAAAUUAGCCAGGUGUGGUGGCGGGCACCUGUAAUACCAGCUACUUGGGAGGCUGAGCCUGGGAUGGCUGCUGUGAUACUUGCUCCCUGCCUGGGGCCUCUGUGCCACCCUCAGACACCAGGGAGGGCACCUUGCAGACACCUGGGCUGGGCCCGCAUCCAGGGAGAAACGCAUCUCUCCAAAACCACGUGCUUUUUUUUUUUUUUUGAGAUGGCAUCCCGCCGUUGCCAGGCUGGAGAGCACUGGCAGGAUCUCAGUUCACUGCAACUUCCGCCUCCCGGGUUCAAGUGAUUCUCCUGUCUCAGCCUCCCGAGUACCUGGGAUUACAGGCACCCACCACUACGCCCAACUAUUUUUUUGUAUUUUUAGUAGGGACGAGGGUUUCGCCACGUUGGCCAGGCUGGUCUCGAACUCCUGACCGCAUGAUUCGCCCACCUCAGCCUCCCAAAGUGCUGGGAUUACAGGCGUGAGCCACUGCGCCCGGCCGAAACCAGGUGCUUUUCCUCACGACCUGUGCGGGCUGGGCCUACGGCAACCGGGACCCCUCAGCCUCCCCCCUCCUGACCAGGAGACGCACCCUGGAGGGAGAGGGCCCCCAAUGCCCACGGUGGCAGGGAUGUGUGGGGUAGCUGCAGGGUGAGCCUUCUGGGUCCCUGGCCACUGGGGCCCCCGAGACCCCCUCAGAGGUGUGGGGACCUGUGGUGAGAUGGGGCUGGGUUUCUCAACGCUGCAGGUGGAGCAGUGGGGGUCGGAGGCCCCAACCCACCUUCUUAUGGACCUGCCCAGAGCAGCUGCAGAGGGAGCAGGACAAGCAGGCGCGUGGUGUCUGCUCAGGGCAGGGUCCUCCCUGCUGUCCCCAGCACUGUUUGGCUGUCGUCUGCAUCCUAACUCACACCAGGCCCUCCUUGGUGCAGACAGGACCCCACGCCCACGGGGACCCUUCUAGCCACAGCAGCACCUCACAGGGACAGGGUGGAAGCCCACGGCCUGUGUAACAGCAUCACAUCACUGAGCCCUGCUGGGCUGGGUCCCCCCACAGGAGGAACCAAGUUGUAGAGGGGAUGGGGACAAGAAGCAGGGGCGGUGCAGGAGGCUGGGGUCCAAGGGAGGCUGAGCCGGUGGAAAGGCCUCUCAGCAUGGCCUCCUCUGGCACCCACGCCUAGGGUCCUUCCCCUCCUAGCUGGCCACAACUCACUGGGGCAGUGGCCCAAGACAGCCCCUGUCACCUGGCCUGCUCCCUCCCCCAGACACGGCUCUGGCGCCAUCCAUGCCCACCGCAGACCGUGUGCAACGGUGCCUGCUGCCCACAGGGUUUAUGCCCCCCGACCUUCCCCCUGGAGACGCGGACCUGGCUGUCCCUAGGGUGAGCCUGUGUGCUCCACUCCCCUCCUGCCAGGCGGCCUUGGCUGGGAUGGGGAGGAGCUGCCACCAGCGGGGCCAAGGUUGCUACUAACCAGUAAAUCGUGUAGGCCUCUGCUUGAGCUGGGUCUUGGAUAUUUGGUUCAUUUAGAAGUUCCUGUAUUCCUAAUAGGAUCUGCGCCAGAGACAAAAACACAAGACAGGUGUGAGCAGUUUGAAAGGGAGACACCGUGAGACUCAGCCUCAGCCACAGAGAAUGACCACAGACUCACGCGUCCGGAGGGGAGACUGAGGCAGCCCUGCCCGUGCCGGCGGCGGAGGCCCCGUACCUGUUUGAUUGUGAUGGCUGGCCUCCAGUCCUUGUCCUCCUCUAAGAUGGACAGGCACACUGUCCCCGAAGGGUACACAUUCGGGUGAAAUAAUGGUGGUUCGAAUUUACCUGGAGGAAAAGGAAGAAAGGAAGCACUUUUUGGAGGCAGGCACUGUCCCAGAGUCACGUCCUUCCCCACGUCACCCUCCUCCCAACACUGGGGCCCCGGGUUGGCAGCCAGGUUAUUUGGCCAAAAACUUUUCAAAAAAAUUAAAUUGUGGCCAUGAGGAGACAAAAGGCAGACAUAUACACCUUUGCACACAGGGAACAGAGCCUUGGGGACACGGCCGCAGUUGAGACGAAGCUGUGUCUCUCCCGGGACAGAACUCCCAGCACAGCCAGGCAGUCUGGGAACAUAGGCCCCAGGGUGGCCACUUAACCUGUGGCCCCUACAUCCUUCCCAGCUGGGCCAGACUCAGGGGAGAUGGAAGGAGCCACAGGAGACGUCCAGGGACAUAGCCAAGGCCCUUCCAGAGUCGGCUGUUCCGACACAGACCCUCUGCUUCCAGGACACACGGGCUUUUAGGACCCUGUGUUAUUUCUUUACAAAAAAGCAGAAAAGUUUGCCACCAUUAGCCCCACCAGGGACCAUCACAGUUGAUAUUCUAGGCUAUUUCCCAUCUUUUACCCGGGCAUCCUCCCUCUUCUCUCAGUGCUACGGAAGGACACGCAGUGUGGCACAUCUAGUGCAGCCAGAGGAAUUAUCAGAAAGCCAACGUGCCACGAACACCUACAGCUUCCCAGAACACUUGCUCCUACCGACCACUGCGUCUGCCCCGUAAUCCCAACUCCAACACCCGCGGGCAGCUUCCUGGACUUCAGGUACCAUGGAGACGCACAGGGCACACUCCCUGGGGAAGGCGAGGACACCACCACAGAGCAUCCCACACUGCGACCAUCCCACACGGCGGACCAUCCCACACCGCAGGAGCUCACGGGCGACACCAGCAGCUGCGUGGCAGUCCUGAGUGCGAACGCGCGUGAGCGCGCUGCUGUGGAAUGU